UACGUAGGGUGCGAGCGUUAAUCGGAAUUACUGGGCGUAAAGCGUGCGCAGGCGGUUCGUUGUGUCGGCGGUGAAAGCCCCGGGCUUAACCUGGGAAUGGCCGUUGAAACUGGCGAACUGGAGUGUGGCAGAGGGGGGUGGAAUUCCGCGUGUAGCAGUGAAAUGCGUAGAGAUGCGGAGGAACACCGGUGGCGAAGGCAACCCCCUGGGCUAACACUGACGCUCAGGCACGAAAGCGUGGGGAGCAAACAGG
rnacentral:rRNA from 1 species